rnacentral:lncRNA from 1 species
GUUCCUUUCUGUAUACUUUGAGACAUUUAAACAAUUUGUUGAACUCAAUUGUAUUGAGAUUUUGUUUCUUGAUUUUUUUUCAGUAAAUAUGUUAAAAGUAUUUCCUCAGAUAAUAAAAAACUCUUUGUUACCCUCUUAAUAGGUUCACAAUAGUUCAUAUUCUGUGGGAAACAUCAUAUUCCUAAACAUUCUACAGUUUCAGACAUUCGGGUGGUUUUUCACAUUUUCCUUUUACUAUGAAGGAGAUGUCCUUGUCUAGAAAUCUUUGGUCAUGUGUCUGAUUAUCUCAUUAGGUGAGAUUCCUUGUCAAGGAUAUGAACAGCUGGAGGACUUCGGAGACACAAAGUCAAGUUGUUGUGCAGUGACAUGGUCCUGGCAUACCCGGUGUGGAGCCUUAGAUGCUUCCUCACAGCAUCAGGAACUGUAAUUCCUAAAACCUCACUCUUUUGACAGGUGUGGCCGGCUGAGGCGAGGGGCCUCGGUGGCAUCCAUUCUCCGAGACGACCGGAAAUGAAUGUCUUUCCUUCCACCCACUAGCAGCUGGAUUGUCAGAGGCCUGGCAGCUUAGCUCUCCUGGCUCCCUCCACCGCUGGGAGGCCAGGGAUGCCGGCAGGCAGAACCCAAACCAAGAAUAUAAGAGUUCAAGAACAGUCCCUACUGAAGCCCACACAAACAUCUGCGUGCCGGGGUUCGGCUGUGGUGGGAGAGGCGGAUGCCAAGCUAAUUGGCAAGUAGCCUGGAUCUGCUACCUCGGGGGACUUCGGGGCUUGGUCCUUGAGCCUCCUGCUCAAUAAUGCAAGGGUUCCGAGACGUUCCCUUCCUUCAUCUGACAGAAUGAGAUGCCCUCGAACUGAGGGUUUUGCGAAAGAACAGAAAAAGUACGAGGACACUGGGUGGAGAGGGGAAGAGGACAGAGAAUGAUAAG